rnacentral:rRNA from 1 species
GAUGAACGCUGGCGGCGUGCCUAAUACAUGCAAGUCGAGCGAACAGACGAGGAGCUUGCUCCUCUGACGUUAGCGGCGGACGGGUGAGUAACACGUGGAUAACCUACCUAUAAGACUGGGAUAACUUCGGGAAACCGGAGCUAAUACCGGAUAAUAUAUUGAACCGCAUGGUUCAAUAGUGAAAGACGGUUUUGCUGUCACUUAUAGAUGGAUCCGCGCCGCAUUAGCUAGUUGGGAAGGUAACGGCUUACCAAGGCGACGAUGCGUAGCCGACCUGAGAGGGUGAUCGGCCACACUGGAACUGAGACACGGUCCAGACUCCUACGGGAGGCAGCAGUAGGGAAUCUUCCGCAAUGGGCGAAAGCCUGACGGAGCAACGCCGCGUGAGUGAUGAAGGUCUUCGGAUCGUAAAACUCUGUUAUUAGGGAAGAACAAAUGUGUAAGUAACUAUGCACGUCUUGACGGUACCUAAUCAGAAAGCCACGGCUAACUACGUG